AUUGAACGCUGGCGGCAGGCCUAACACAUGCAAGUCGAACGAGUGGCGGACGGGUGAGUAAUGUCUGGGAAACUGCCUGAUGGAGGGGGAUAACUACUGGAAACGGUAGCUAAUACCGCAUACCAUCAGAUGUGCCCAGAUGGGAUUAGCUAGUAGGUGGGGUAAGGGCUCACCAAGGCGACGAUCCCUAGCUGGUCUGAGAGGAUGACCAGCCACACUUGAACUGAGACACGGGCCAGACUCCUACGGGAGGCAGCAGUGGGGAAUAUUGCACAAUGGGCGCAAGCCUGAUGCAGCCAUGCCGCGUGUGUGAAGAAGGUCUUCGGAUUGUAAAGCACUUUAAGUAGGGAGGCGUUACCAACAGAAGAAGCACCGGCUAACUUCGUGCCAGCAGCCGCGGUAAUAC
rnacentral:rRNA from 1 species